UUUGACCUGAGCUCAGUCGAGAUCACCCGCUGAACUUAAGCAUAUCAGUAAGCGGAGGAAAAGAAACU
rnacentral:rRNA from 1 species